UUGAAUUCUAUAAAAUUGAGUAUAAAAUAAGAAUACAUUUUUAGCUUGAUACAUACAGUAUGAAAUUGGAACCCCAAAAUAAAUAAUAUGGUAUUACUCAGUUUUAAGUGGAAAAUGGUUUCCUCUUGUGGCAAUUUUGUACAGGUAAAACCCAGUCAUGAGUGCACUGAUACCAGCAACAGCACCAGCCGGCAUUAGUUUUGAAGUUUGCAUGUACCGCUGCCCCAUAACCCAUGUUAACAUGGCUGCACAAGCAGUUUCAAGAAUCAAGGCAAAGUAUGAAUUUUUGCGUUUGUGAAAUGCUUGCAGACUCAAGUAACCCGCUAAGAUCAGAGCAAAUCCAGUACCAACACCUCCAGCAAGUGAAGCUGUGCUUCCUUUACUGGCAUAUCCCAUGACACCACCAGUCACCAGAAUUAACCCAUAAGGGAUCGUAAAGCAGAAAUCAUGCAUCUUUUACCAAGAUUUGAUUUUUUUAUUUUUUUUAGCAAAUUUUUAGUCAAGAUUUCAGAGAUCAAAAA
rnacentral:misc_RNA from 1 species